AUUGAACGCUGGCGGCAUGCCUUACACAUGCAAGUCGAACGGUAACGCGGGGCAACCUGGCGACGAGUGGCGAACGGGUGAGUAACGCAUCGGAACGUGCCCAGUAGUGGGGGGUAGCCCGGCGAAAGCCGGAUUAAUACCGCAUACGACCUACGGGUGAAAGGGGGGGAUCGCAAGACCUCUCGCUCUUGGAGCGGCCGAUGUCAGAUUAGGUAGUUGGUGGGGUAAAGGCCUACCAAGCCGACGAUCUGUAGCUGGUCUGAGAGGACGACCAGCCACACUGGGACUGAGACACGGCCCAGACUCCUACGGGAGGCAGCAGUGGGGAAUUUUGGACAAUGGGCGCAAGCCUGAUCCAGCCAUGCCGCGUGCGGGAAGAGGGCCUUCGGGUUGUAAACCGCUUUUGUCAGGGAAGAAACGCGCUGAGUUAAUACCUCGGCGUAAUGACGGUACCUGAAGAAUAAGCACCGGCUAACUACGUGCCAGCAGCCGCCGUAAGAC
rnacentral:rRNA from 1 species